UUUAUAUAGGUGCUUGGUAGAUUUUUCAUCUUUUUUAUCUGUUGCAAAUUGAAAAAAAUAUACAUGUUUCCAUGUACACCAACUAGCUGUAUGAAAUUUUAGAAAAAUGUGGGUAUAAAAUCAAGUCACUUAAUAUGCUUGACACCUUAGUUUAGUAGCUAGGAUUAUAAUGUAACUGUGGAUUCAUUAAUUUUUUGUGGAUUUGAGAAAUUGUGUUUUGUGGAAAAUUGUUGUACUGGUCAAAAUAAUUCAAGUCUUUUAGAAAUUUGUUUUUUUACACAGUUAAUUUUUACAGAUCACCUACUACUAUAUCAACAAAAUUCACAAAAAAAGAUAAGUACCCCAUAAAUAUUAUUGAAUCCACAAUAAACUGUUUUUGUGCCUUGCAUGACCUUGUCCUUAAAUCUACAUCAUCAUUAUAAUAUAUAGCUGAACUGCAAAGAUUUAAAUGAAAAUCUGUUUUUCUAAGAUGUAAUUUUGGAAUUACUGUAUGGUGAAAGUUACUAUGUGUAUUUCUUUAUACAAGUCAACUUUUCACAAUUUGUUAAUGCCUUGUUCACUACUUGCCAAAUUGAAUACAAAUUUUUAAUAUAUUAGAAUUGAUGCAUAUUACAGGCUUUAUUAAAGAGAGUUUAGUCCUGAACUUCUCUGGUAUUUAUUACUUUUUCAAUCUAAGCAAAACAUUUUCCAUGAUUUUGUUUGUAUAUAUCAGAUGUUUUAUUUUGAUAAAGGAAAACAUAUUUUUUUAAAAGUAUUUCAAAAAAGUUCAGUAUUA
rnacentral:lncRNA from 1 species